rnacentral:lncRNA from 1 species
GAAGGCCUCUGCUGAGCACGAUCUCUGUGGGGGUAGGAGCUCGGCAUGUGUGUAUUGACAGACAGGCUCAUGCCCUUUCUCGUGGCUAUUUUCAGCUCUCUGGCUUUAUGUUUCACUUUCUCUCCUGACUCUACCCAAAAAACCCACUAAAAUUAGCUGGGUGUGGUAAUAUGUUUUGGAUCUGUGUCCCCACCCAAAUCUCAGGUCAAAUUGUAAUUCCCAAUGUUGGAGGUGGGGCCUGGUGGGAGGUGAUUGGAUUAGGGAGUGGUUUCGCAUGAAUGGUUUAGCACCAUCCCCUUGGUGCUGUUCUCAUGAUAGUGAGUUCUCAUGAGAUCUGGUUGUUUAAAAGUGUGUAGCACCUUCCUACUCUCUAUUGGUCCUGGUCCUGCCAUGUAAGAUACUCAUUCCAUCUUUGCUUCUGCCAUGAUUAGAAGCUUCCUGAGGCCUCCCCAGAAGCAGAUGCUGCCAUGCUUCCUGUACAGCCUAUGGAACCAUGAGCCAAUUUUUCUUUAUAAAUUACCUGCUCACAGGUAGGUUUUUUUUUGGAAUUGCUUGAACCCGGGAGGCGGAGGUUGCAGUGAGCCAAGAUCACACCAUUGCACUCCAGCC